CCUCAUCAUGACUAAGGGUCUCCAGCCGAUGAGGUCGUGAGUGAUGAUCAAAUGGGGGCUGGGGGGUAGGGGGGCGAGUAAGUGACUUGUCCUUGGGAACAACUGCAUGCGUAGAAGCGCGCAUCAGCCCAACAACUUUCCCUUUUCCUCUUAGGGACUGAUGACUAGGCGAGAGACACCAAGGCGAGCCACUAGUUGCCCACAGGAACCUGUGUAAGCCGAGCUCUCAAGCGGCUGAGUUGAAUGAAGUUAUGACUGCGUUUGCUCUAAUGGGUUAUGGCUUCCCGAAUGUAAUAGGAGAAGAAAAGAAUCACGACGCACAACUUGGAAAGCCUUCUGAAAACAAGAAUGGGCAAUGAUUGCCAAGAACCUGAUGUUUAGCUCAUAUUUAAAAAGAACUCAAAGAAUCUUCAAUCUACCAAACCUAGUUUAGUUAUAAACAAUCAGAACUUCAAAAAGAAGCAAGCAGGAGAAAGCUUUGGGAAAGUCAUGAUUUAGUUUGCAAUAACCUCUGUGCGUUCCUGAUCCUGACAAGCAAGCAUGAGGCAGAAGAUCUGGACAUGACUUAACUCAAUUUCAGAAAACCAGACAACCUUAUAAUGAGGCUGAAGCAAGACCACACGGAAUACUGAGGAAGAACUGAAUGACUCUUUCUACACCAUCUUACAGACAAGAGAUGAAUAAGAGGAAGUAUGGGUAGCAAGUAAGAGAGAAGUGACGUUGUUAAUAUGAAAGCUUGACAGGAGAUUAAGAUGGGUCAAGAGCAUGUCAGGUCAGGACUUGCAAGAUGUACUUAAGUAAAUGUAAGUUCAUAUUAGGAAUUGGAAAAAAUGAGAAAUAAAAACACCAAGGACUCACAAAACUUAGGAUCAUGAAAAGGCAAUUGAAAACUAGUAAAAGGAGCCGAGUUUACAUCAUGAUGGUGCCUACCAAGGGAGGCUUAAACGACUUCUGGAGCCUCCUCUUCCCCCACCUCCAUCUUAGAAGAUAGCAGACGUAUCCUUGAAGAGGCCUUGACAGAACAUAGGCCAAUUCACUUCUAAGAUGCAGGUUAUUCUUGAAAUCUAAGAGCUGCAAAUCAAAGAUGGGGUAUACACUCAAAUUAGGGGGCACUAAUGCGAUGACUCAGAGUCCCAGAAUGGGUCUGAGUAUGCAAAUCACUGUGGAGAUGUUCCCAAAGUCUUGACAGAUCUAUGUUAAGGCAGAAACAAGGACAUCAUAUUCUCCAAUAUUGCUGUGAUACAGAAUCUAAA
rnacentral:lncRNA from 13 species